UACGGAGGGUGCAAGCGUUAUCCGGAUUCACUGGGUUUAAAGGGUGCGUAGGCGGGCAUGUAAGUCAGUGGUGAAAUCUUCAAGCUUAACUUGGAAACUGCCAUUGAUACUAUGUGUCUUGAAUGUUCUGGAGGUUAGCGGAAUAUGUCAUGUAGCGGUGAAAUGCUUAGAUAUGACAUAGAACACCUAUUGCGAAGGCAGCUAACUACGGAAAUAUUGACGCUGAGGCACGAAAGCGUGGGGGAUCAAACAGG
rnacentral:rRNA from 1 species